rnacentral:rRNA from 1 species
CAAUAGCGUAUAUUAAAGUUGUUGCAGUUAAAAGCUCGUAGUUGGACUUCUGGGUUGUGAUUGUGGUCCGCCUAACGGUGUGCACUGUGGUUGCGACUCUUCUUCCCGUAGUUUGGGGGUGCACUUAGUUGUGUGCUUUUGGAAUAUGGGACCUUUACUUUGAAAAAUUAGAGUGUUCAAAGCAGGCCUUCGCUUGAAUACAUUAGCAUGGAAUAAUAGAAUAGGACUUUGGUUCUAUUUUGUUGGUUUCUAGGACCGAAGUAAUGAUUAAUAGGGACAGUUGGGGGCGAUUCAUAUUCCAUUGUCAGAGGUGAAAUUCUUGGAUUAACGGAAGAUGAACUUCUGCGAAAGCAUCUGCCAAGGAUGUUUUCAUUGAUCAAGAACGAAAGUUAGGGGAUCGAAGACGAUCAGAUACCAU